rfam:Oryza brachyantha chromosome 12, whole genome shotgun sequence.
AAUAACUUUAUUUUUCGUUUUUCUGUGUCCCACGUUUGACCAUUAGUAUUAUUUGAAUUUUUUUUGCGAUUAAUAUUUUUAUUAUUACUAGAUGAUAAAAUAUGAAUAGUACUUUAUACGUGACUAAUUUUUUAAAGAUUUUAUACAAAAUUUUCAAAUAAGACGAAUGGUCAAACGUUGGCCACGGAAAAAC